rnacentral:tRNA from 1 species
GUAGACGUUAGCUCAGUGGUUAGAGCACAGGACUCUGGCUCUCGGGUCCGCAAGUUCUCGAGUCCCGUCGUCUACU